rnacentral:rRNA from 1 species
GACGAACGCUGGCGGCGUGCUUAACACAUGCAAGUCGAACGGUGAACCAGAGCUUGCUCUGGGGAUCAGUGGCGAACGGGUGAGUAACACGUGGGCAACCUGCCCCAGACUCUGGGAUAACCUCGGGAAACCGAUGCUAAUACCGGAUACGACCACUUCGGACAUCCGACGGUGGUGGAAAGUUUUUCGGUCUGGGAUGGGCCCGCGGCCUAUCAGCUAGUUGGUGGGGUAAUGGCCUACCAAGGCGACGACGGGUAGCCGGCCUGAGAGGGCGACCGGCCACACUGGAACUGAGACACGGUCCAGACUCCUACGGGAGGCAGCAGUGGGGAAUAUUGCACAAUGGGCGAAAGCCUGAUGCAGCGACGCCGCGUGAGGGACGACGGCCUCGGUUGUAAACCUCUUUCAGCAGGACGAAGCGAAAGUGACUGUACCUGCAGAAGAAGCACCGGCGUAACUACGUGCCAGCAGCCGCGGUAAU